rnacentral:rRNA from 1 species
AUGCAGCCGAGGGGAGGCGGCCAUAGCUCCAGCCAACGCCGCCGGGACGGCGCCGCCCACACCACCAGGUCGCCGCCUGGAACCCUAGGCCCGUUCCCGAGAAAGAAUCGUGGCCGAAGACCUCGCCGCCGCCCUCAUCGACGACCGCGUGGGCUUGCCGGCGUCUGCCUCCAGCGGCGGCAAGGGAAGAUGCGAAGGGGAGGAGGUGGCGGCGGACGAGAUCUGUCGCCCCCCGAGUCGCCCCUGGAGGACGACGCGAGGGGGAGGGGCCGUGGGGUGGGUGUUUGGUGGCGAAUCGCCCUGGUGCAUUGUUCCGUUCCUGUUUCGUACAAAAUUCUUCCCUUGGUGUUAUCUUUUUCGGCUGAGAUGUAG